rnacentral:rRNA from 1 species
GAAAGUAAAGAAGGGCGCAUGGCGGAUGCCUUGGCUCUCGGAGGCGAUGAAGGACGUGAUAAGCUGCGAUAAGCUCCGGGGAGGUGCAAAUAACCUUUGAUCCGGGGAUUUCCGAAUGGGACAACCCGGCGUGUUGAAGACACGCCACCUGAUCAUUUCAGGAGCUAACGCAGGGAACUGAAACAUCUUAGUACCUGCAGGAAAAGAAAAUAACAAUGAUUCCCCCAGUAGUGGCGAGCGAACGGGGAAUAGCCCAAACCGUUCAUGUUACGGCAUGAUCGGGGUUGUAGGACUACGUCGUUGCAUGAAGACAUCGGAGAAGAACUUUCUGGAAAGGAAGACCAUAGAGCAUGACAGUUGCGUAUUCGUAUGUUGUCGAAGCAUAGUAGUAUCCUGAGUAGCGCGGAGCACGAGGAAUUCUGCGUGAAUCUGCCGGGACCAUCCGGUAAGGCUAAAUACUCCCGAGAGACCGAUAGCGAACCAGUACCGUGAGGGAAAGGUGAAAAGCACUUCGAACAGAAGAGUGAAAUAGUUCCUGAAACCGUGCGCCUACAAGCGGUCGGAGCUGCUUAAAGCAGUGACGGCGUGCCUUUUGCAUAAUGAACCUACGAGUUGCCUUUGCCGGCAAGGUUAAGUGUGACGACACACGUAUCCGAAGCGAAAGCGAGUCUGAAUAGGGCGCAUAGUCGGCAGUGGCAGACGCGAAACCAAGUGAUCUACCCUUGGCCAGGUUGAAGGCUGGGUAACACCAGCUGGAGGACCGCACCAAUAAGCGUUGAAAAGCUUCUGGAUGAGCUGAGGGUAGGGGUGAAAGGCUAAUCAAACUUGGAGAUAGCUCGUACUCCCCGAAAUGCAUUUAGGUGCAGCCUUGGGAAUUACUACUGUGAGGUAGAGCGACUGAUAAGAUGCGAGGGCUUCACCGCCUAUCAAGUCUUGACAAACUCCGAAUGCGCAUCAGUUUUACCUCAGGAGUGAGGGCAUGGGUGCUAAGGUCCGUGCCCGAGAGGAGAAGAAUCCGGACCACCUGCUAAGGUCCCGAAAUAACAGCUAAGUUAAACUAACGAAGUCAGAUUGCUAAGACAGCUAGGAUGUUGGCUUGGAAGCAGCCAUUCAUUUAAAGAGUGCGUAACAGCUCACUAGUCGAGGAGUCUGGCGUGGAUAAUAAUCGGGUAUUAAGUUGUCUACCGAAGCAGUGGGAUCAUUGAAAUGAUCGGUAGGGGAGCAUUCCAGUCAGCGUCGAAGGCGUACCGCGAGGUAUUCUGGAGCGUCUGGAAAAGCAAAUGUAGGUAUAAGUAACGAUAAAGGGGGCGGGAAACCCCCUCGCCGAAAGACUAAGGUUUCCUGAUCAACGCUAAUCGGAUCAGGGUAAGUCGGGUCCUAAGGCUCAGCCGAACGGCGAGGCCGAUGGCAGAACCGGUUAAUAUUCCGGUACUACCUGUGGGAGUGACGUGGAGACGGAGUCGUGACAGCGCCGCGGACUGACGGAAUAGUCCGUUGAAGGGUGUAGAUGCUGAUUGUUCCAGGCAAAUCCGGAGCAAGAGUCGAACCUGAUAGUAUGGAGCGUUCUUAGAACAAUCCAAUAGUGCGUGUAAUCAUACUUCCAAGAAAAUCCGCUAAACUUAAUCCUGCAGGUACCCGUACCGCAAACGGACACACGUAGUCGGGUUGAAUAUACUAAGGCGCUUGAGUGAUUCACGGUUAAGGAACUAGGCAAACUGACCCUGUAACUUCGGGAUAAAGGGUCCCUACCCGGUGACGGGAGGGCGCAGAGAAUAGGUCCAGGCAACUGUUUAACAAAAACACAGGGCUGUGCUAAAUCGAAAGAUCCUGUAUACAGCCUGACACCUGCCCGGUGCUGGAAGGUUAAGAGGAGACGUCAUCGUUGAGAGAAGCGUUGAAUUGAAGCCCCAGUAAACGGCGGCCGUAACUAUAACGGUCCUAAGGUAGCGAAAUUCCUUGUCGGGU